rnacentral:rRNA from 1 species
UCGACCUCAAAUCAGGUAGGAUUACCCGCUGAACUUAA